rnacentral:rRNA from 1 species
UACGAAGGGGGCUAGCGUUGCUCGGAAUCACUGGGCGUAAAGGGCGCGUAGGCGGACGUUUAAGUCAGAGGUGAAAGCCCAGGGCUCAACCCUGGAAUGGCCUUUGAUACUGGACGUCUCGAGACCGGAAGAGGUUGGUGGAACUGCGAGUGUAGAGGUGAAAUUCGUAGAUAUUCGCAAGAACACCAGUGGCGAAGGCGGCCAACUGGUCCGGUUCUGACGCUGAGGCGCGAAAGCGUGGGGAGCAAACAGG